AAAAUAAAGUAUGCAAGGAGAUAAUAGAAUAUAAGGCAAAUAUUAUUGCUUCAUAAAAGAGAUACAAGAAGGAGCAGAACUUUAAAAUACGAAUCUAUUACAAGACUUCAUCAUUUUCUCCUAAGGUAAGAGGUUCUAGCUCUCCAUGAAUUCUACUGUCAUCUUGGUCUCUUUUGAACAUCAGAUUUUUACCCCUGCUU
rnacentral:lncRNA from 1 species